rnacentral:rRNA from 1 species
GUGCCAGCAGCCGCGGUAAGACGAACCGUCCGAACGUUAUUCGGAAUUACUGGGCUUAAAGGGUGCGUAGGCGGCGCAGUAAGUAGGGUGUGAAAUCCCUCGGCUCGACCGAGGAACUGCGCCCUAAACUACUGUGCUCGAGGGAGAUAGAGGUGAGCGGAACUUAGGGUGGAGCGGUGAAAUGCGUUGAUAUCCUAAGGAACACCGGUGGCGAAAGCGGCUCACUGGAUCUCUUCUGACGCUGAGGCACGAAAGCUAGGGUAGCAAACGGGAUUAGAUACCCUUGUAGUCC